rnacentral:tRNA from 1 species
GGUUAGAUAGCUCAGUUGGUAGAGCAGAGGACUGAAAAUCCUUGUGUCGGCGGUUCAAUUCCGCCUCUAUCCAC